rnacentral:SRP_RNA from 2 species
GCCGAACUUGGCUGCGCAAGUUUAUAACCCAAGCGGGGGCAUUAUAGUGAUGGGAUAUUGGCUCAGCUUACUGAGUUGGAUUCUUAGUGGUCUAAUAUCUGACUUGUCCGUUCCAAGCGAGGAGUUGAGUCACGAGAUUUAAGCGAAAGCUCUGGGUCUCAUGACUCCUAGAGUGGAGGGCACCGCGUGAGGCUGGCUUCACAGAGCAGCGAAGACUUCCCGCUCUUGGCAGUGGAAGGAUAACAGGCCGGUGCCGCUUGGUUCCAAAAUGGCUCUGUGGGCUGAUCCUAAUUGAACCAUCACCUUU